rnacentral:rRNA from 1 species
GAACGCUGGCGGCAUGCCUUACACAUGCAAGUCGAACGGCAGCACGGGAGCAAUCCUGGUGGCGAGUGGCGAACGGGUGAGUAAUAUAUCGGAACGUGCCCAGUCGGUGGGGGAUAACGUAGCGAAAGCUACGCUAAUACCGCAUACGAUCUAUGGAUGAAAGCGGGGGAUCGCAAGACCUCGCGCGAUUGGAGCGGCCGAUAUCAGAUUAGGUAGUUGGUGAGGUAAAGGCUCACCAAGCCGACGAUCUGUAGCUGGUCUGAGAGGACGACCAGCCACACUGGGACUGAGACACGGCCCAGACUCCUACGGGAGGCAGCAGUGGGGAAUUUUGGACAAUGGGCGCAAGCCUGAUCCAGCAAUGCCGCGUGCAGGAUGAAGGCCUUCGGGUUGUAAACUGCUUUUGUACGGAACGAAACGGUGAGCUCUAAUACAGUUUGCUAAUGACGGUACCGUAAGAAUAAGCACCGGCUAACUACGUG